AAACAUUGUUUAUAUAAUUAUUAUAAAUAUAACCUGCUCAAUGAAAAAAUUUAAAUAGCUGCAAAUUUUGUACUAAGGUAGCAUAAUCAUUUGUUUUUUAAUUUUAAACUAGAAUGAAAGGUAAAACAAAUCAUUUCUUUAUUUUAUAUUUUAUUUUAACUUAUAUUAAAUAUAAAAAUAUAUUUUUAAAAAAAAAAGACGACAAGACCCUAUUGAACUUUACUUUAGUUUAGCUGGGGAAGCUAAAUAAUAAAUAUUUUAUUACAAAUUUUAUAAAUGACCCAAAACAUUUGAUUAAUUAAUCAAGUUACCAUAGGGAUAACAGCGCAAUAAAUUUUUAAAGUUCUUAUAUAAAAAUUUGCUUACGACCUCGAUGUUGAAUUAGAAAUCUUUAUUAAGCAAAAAUAAUGAAAGUAGGUCUGUUCGACCUUUAAAAUUCUACAUGAUCUGA
rnacentral:rRNA from 1 species